rnacentral:rRNA from 2 species
UGGAUCCAGACUUUGAUCAUGGCUCAGGAUGAACGCUAGCUACAGGCUUAACACAUGCAAGUCGAGGGGCAGCGGGAUUGAGGCUUGCUUCAAUUGCCGGCGACCGGCGCACGGGUGAGUAACGCGUAUCCAACCUUCCGUACACUCAGGGAUAGCCUUUCGAAAGAAAGAUUAAUACCUGAUGGUAUGAUGAGAUUGCAUGAUAGCAUCAUUAAAGAUUUAUCGGUGUACGAUGGGGAUGCGUUCCAUUAGGUAGUAGGCGGGGUAACGGCCCACCUAGCCAACGAUGGAUAGGGGUUCUGAGAGGAAGGUCCCCCACAUUGGAACUGAGACACGGUCCAAACUCCUACGGGAGGCAGCAGUGAGGAAUAUUGGUCAAUGGACGAGAGUCUGAACCAGCCAAGUAGCGUGAAGGAUGAAGGUCCUACGGAUUGUAACUUCUUUUAUAAGGGAAUAAACCCUCCCACGUGUGGGAGCUUGUAUGUACCUUAUGAAUAAGCAUCGGCUAACUCCGUGCCAGCAGCCGCGGUAAUACGGAGGAUGCGAGCGUUAUCCGGAUUUAUUGGGUUUAAAGGGAGCGCAGACGGGUCGUUAAGUCAGCUGUGAAAGUUUGGGGCUCAACCUUAAAAUUGCAGUUGAUACUGGCGUCCUUGAGUGCGGUUGAGGUGUGCGGAAUUCGUGGUGUAGCGGUGAAAUGCUUAGAUAUCACGAAGAACUCCGAUUGCGAAGGCAGCACACUAAUCCGUAACUGACGUUCAUGCUCGAAAGUGUGGGUAUCAAACAGGAUUAGAUACCCUGGUAGUCCACACGGUAAACGAUGGAUACUCGCUGUUGGCGAUAUACUGUCAGCGGCUUAGCGAAAGCGUUAAGUAUCCCACCUGGGGAGUACGCCGGCAACGGUGCAACUCAAAGGAAUUGACGGA